rnacentral:ncRNA from 1 species
AGUGGUUAGGAACCCAUUGUUACAUUAUUAGACGGAAAGACCCCAAGAGCUUUUUUUGUGUUAGAUUUGUUUGGGGUAAAUGUAGAUUAUUCAUUUAUUUUUAGAUCCUUUAUGGAUAAAGGAUAAAGUUACCUUGGGGAUAACUGAGUAAAGGACAGGGAGAGGUCCUAUUGAUCUGUUUAUUACUACCUCGAUGUUGGCUUGUUGAACCUUUUCGGUGUAGAGGCUGGAAAAGGAAGUCUGUUCGACUUUUAAAUCUUCAUGAGUUGAGUUAAGACCGGUGUAAGCCAGGUUGGUUCUUAUCUAUAAUUGG